rnacentral:rRNA from 1 species
GCUGGCGGCGUGCCUAAUACAUGCAAGUCGWACGCUUCUUUUUCCACCGGRGCUUGCUCCACCGGAAAAAGAAGAGUGGCGAACGGGUGAGUAACACGUGGGUAACCUGCCCAUCRGAAGGGGAUAACACUUGGAAACAGGUGCUAAUACCGUAUAACAAUCRAAACCGCRKGGUUUUGAUUUGAAAGGCGCUUUCGGGUGUCGCUGAUGGAUGGACCCGCGGUGCAUUASCUAGUUGGUGAGGUAACGGCUCACCAAGGCCACGAUGCAUAGCCGACCUGAGAGGGUGAUCGGCCACAUUGGGACUGAGACACGGCCCAAACUCCUACGGGAGGCAGCAGUAGGGAAUCUUCRGCAAUGGACGAAAGUCUGACCGAGCAACGCCSCGUGAGUGAAGAAGGUUUUCGGAUCGUAAAACUCUGUUGUUAGAGAAGAACAAGGAUGAGAGUAACUGUUCAUCCCUUGACGGUAUCUAACCAGAAAGCCACGGCUAACUACGUGCCAGCAGCCGCGGUAAUACGUAGGUGGCAAGCGUUGUCCGGAUUUAUUGGGCGUAAAGCGAGCGCAGGCGGUUUCUUAAGUCUGAUGUGAAAGCCCCCGGCUCAACCGGGGAGGGUCAUUGGAAACUGGGAGACUUGAGUGCAGAAGAGGAGAGUGGAAUUCCAUGUGUAGCGGUGAAAUGCGUAGAUAUAUGGAGGAACACCAGUGGCGAAGGCGGCUCUCUGGUCUGUAACUGACGCUGAGGCUCGAAAGCGUGGGGAGCAAACAGGAUUAGAUACCCUGGUAGUCCACGCCGUAAACGAUGAGUGCUAAGUGUUGGAGGGUUUCCGCCCUUCAGUGCUGCAGCUAACGCAUUAAGCACUCCGCCUGGGGAGUACGACCGCAAGGUUGAAACUCAAAGGAAUUGACGGGGGCCCGCACAAGCGGUGGAGCAUGUGGUUUAAUUCGAAGCAACGCGAAGAACCUUACCAGGUCUUGACAUCCUUUGACCACUCUAGAGAUAGAGCUUCCCCUUCGGGGGCAAAGUGACAGGUGGUGCAUGGUUGUCGUCAGCUCGUGUCGUGAGAUGUUGGGUUAAGUCCCGCAACGAGCGCAACCCUUAUUGUUAGUUGCCAUCAUUCAGUUGGGCACUCUAGCAAGACUGCCGGUGACAAACCGGAGGAAGGUGGGGAUGACGUCAAAUCAUCAUGCCCCUUAUGACCUGGGCUACACACGUGCUACAAUGGGAAGUACAACGAGUCGCGAAGUCGCGAGGCUAAGCUAAUCUCUUAAAGCUUCUCUCAGUUCGGAUUGUAGGCUGCAACUCGCCUACAUGAAGCCGGAAUCGCUAGUAAUCGCGGAUCAGCACGCCGCGGUGAAUACGUUCCCGGGCCUUGUACACACCGCCCGUCACACCACGAGAGUUUGUAACACCCGAAGUCGGUGAGGUAACCUUUUGGAGCCAGCCGCCUAAGGUGGGAUAGAUGAUUGGGGUGAAGUCGUAACAAGGUAGCC